rnacentral:misc_RNA from 1 species
GAAUACUUCAAAAGUAGACGAUUUCCAUUACAUUAUUACCAUAAAGAUGAUAAAUAAAACAAUAAAAAUUCUUGAUCUAUGUCCCUGUUGCCUAGAUAGGAUGUUGCUAGACAAGUUUCAAUCUUUAUUACCAAUCACUAUGCGUGUGAUCUUAUUGCCCAUUCUAUCUUAUUUUACAUUCGAAAUCCCUACUUACAUAUCUAUAUACAACCAAUUGCUGGCAUAUCUCAGGUAUAAUUCUACUGAUUUUUUUCCUAGUAGAUGACAUGGACAAAAUUUAAUAACGGAAUUGGAAAACCAUUCUCCAUAAUUGCAUUGAAACCACUAACCAGUCUAACAACUCAUCAAUGAGAUUGAUGUUUCUUUGCUCUACCUUGUGAGACUGUUGAAUCAUCCCUUUUGGAACCCUCAGGUUUCCGAGCCCAUGCAGGAGCCUGGUCUGGCCCAUAACGAUAAUCAUAGAAUAGCUCCUCACUAGCUUCAAUAUGUUCCUUGGCAAAGAUACCUACUCGAUGAUCUCCUGCCACAAGCAUCACCUUCGCAUAGCAAUUAGGAUUGGAUGAGUGGUUUGCAAACUUCAGCUUAUCUCCUUUGCGGUAAGCAUCAAGAACAUACUGCAGAAGAAGAGGCAUCCCACAUCAAACCAUGACACUGGUUAUAAAACAUAGAUUUUGCCAGUUGACACUGGUUUCUGAUUUCUGAAUCUGAUCAUUCAAGUCAAAAAGGAAUGAUGAAUUGGCACGAUCGUAGAUUUUCCCACGCUUAUCCGCCUCUCGGUGGGAGAUCAGUUCACCAGUAUAUUCUCCAAGAUAAUCAUUUUUGUUGACAGGGUUCUGAAAUCACAUCCAAUUUGUUGAACAAAACUUGUACAUUACCACUGAAGAAAACAAUUGUAUGUGCAUUUCUACCUUUGAAAAUGCACCCCAUCCAGCGACUUCAGAUUUUGCCAAAAGGAUCUGAAGAAGGAAAAAGUAAAAAAAACAUUUAUAGCACAGCAUAUUCCUUUUCAAAAUCACUAUCAAAAUAUUAGUAUUGAUAACAUGAGUUCUGAAUUGCACACUCUGUGCUGCUGCCUUAGAAGAAGCCUCAUGUUCCCACAUUGGCCAUCUCCUCGUUUGGGUGGUUCACCUAAUGAACCAUCACCACAACUAACCCAGCAAUUCCGACAAACAUCCGGAUCACAUUCACGUCCAGCAGCAAAGCAUGGACAUUGCCGGCUUCUACAUUGGCUCUUUGCACAGUGGCAUCCCCUGAAACGAUUUUUGCAACUCUUUGAGCACCCACAAUAUUUUUCACAGCAAGUUCCAUUAUGUAGACAGGGACAUUGUUUUCCACACAUUGAUUGACACCCACACGGUGUGUACUGCUUAGAGGACUGAUUUUUGCCAUCAGCAAUUCUUUUCCAAAUUGAUGGAUGGCCAGCAGACUUAAAAGAAUAUUUAAGCUUCCGUGUCCUGCCCCUCCUACGAAGUAGCCGCGAUCUUGUUGGCAUUUCUUGCUCCUACAAGAAAUAAAAGGUAAUCAACAAAGAAGGCUAGUCCCAAAAAAAAAAAUUUUACAGGACUAAUACAGAUCCUCCCAAGAACAAUAAAUCUUUGAGGGAAGGAGGGGUGUUUGGAUGGGUCAGGAAGCUGCAAAGAUAGCCACAAAUUGAUUAUAACAAAUUUACACAAGUACAGAAUAAUGCUUAUGCUCAACAGCCAACUUCUGACAAAUAUAUCAGUAUGAUUCUCUUCCACCCUUCUUUUGUGGAGGCAAAUAUUGUUUCCUGAAACUUCAUCCAUGUACAGCCCACGCUAUGAAGUGUAACCACCCAAAACGAUAGGUAUCUUGAGAUGUUUGGAGCACAUGAUGUUCUCUUUUCAAUGCAAUCUUGAAAAUGUAGCAAUCUAGUUUCUGCUGGAAUAUUACAGUGCAUACCAUGUAAUCUGUAUCAUUCUUUCCAUUAUCUUCCAGAAUCGAACUUGGUGCAACAGAUCUCUGAGUCAUUGUUGCUCCACUGUCACACAUGUAAUUUGAUACUUCCAUACAAGUCUUCAACCCAGAAAGUAAAUUCCCAGCAAUAAGGCAACUGUUUUGUCCAAAUAUCUCCAAACCCUUCGAAUAUAAUUCUUUCUCAAUAGGUUUCCACUCACACCUGCUUAAAACACCUUCUAAUCGUCUUUCUGUUGAGGAUGACUCAUUCAGUUCGGGCACUUCAGCAAGAACAUCGGCUUCAUCUCUACUUUUCUCCUCAGUGCCAAAACAAACAAGGUUUUUUAAUGCAUGUUCAUUGGGAUCAUUUCCUGUGCCUUUGGUGGUCAACUGAAGUUCACUUUUAUCAGUCAUACUUUUAGUACCACCCACAUCAUCAAGACUUUGGUUAUCUUCAACAUUCUCGGUUAGUAUAUCCAAAGCCACUAAUUUCUUCUGCUUCUUACUAGCAGAAUCCUGGAGAUCAGGAACCUGUGUGGAGUCAUCAUUUGUAUCCUGUGACACUUUGCGCUUUCUCAUAUGUUCUGGAUUGUCCAUCACCAUGGCAGGUGUAUCUAAAUUUGAAGGUCCAGAAGCAUGUUCUGAGUGACAAAUAGUUCCUGAAGUAACAGAUAUCUCUUUCUCAGAGAAACAUCUAUCAUCUUGUGCUAGAUCUGUACCAUCAUAUGCACCACUUGGAACUUCAGCACUUGCAGCAACUGCAGUAUUUUUUUCCCCCUCUAAGUUUGCAGUUUUUAUAUGAUGCAAAGCACUAUUAGCUGAACCUUCUGGCAAGUCUUUGACAACUCUAAGCUGCAAAGCGGCAGAAGUGACAUAUUAUCAGUAAAUCAUGUCAAAUCAUUCACCAAGCUCCAAGGGUGCAACAAAUACAUCAAAUGGCAGCAUUUAAAUGUAAUUGUAUGAACAGAGACACGCAAUGCAAAGAGAAAUAACUCAUCAAAGGCACAAAUGGGUGCAGCUCAUGUAAAAGACCAGUACAUGAAAGACAAACUAGCUUUACAAGUAUGGAAUAACAACAUAGUACAUACAAGGAAGAAAAAUAUGGAGAAGCAUAUAAAAGUUCGCCAUUCCUAUUUUCCAUCAUUUGCAAUUUACAAUAAAUUGAAAAAUAUUUAUAACAGCUCAUCUAGCCUGCUGCUGGUCUUUUGAUUCCAAGUCCAAUCCAGUUAAAUACAGACCUAAGCAACCAGAAAUUUGAAAGUCUUGUUUAUGCAGAUGGUUUAGAUAAAAAUAAAAACAACAAAUAAUUGUCAGCUAAAACAACAUAUUAAAAAAAAUACCCGCAGGAAACAUUGAUCGCUGCAAGGUUUUCUGUCAUCUUCAUAUUCAGACCAAUAAGGAUGCUUUUCACUCUGUCAAACGAAGCCCUCUAUUUAGAUAAACAAUAACCAACUUAAAUAAUUUGAAAAGAUAUAAUUCAUUUUUCUACAUACAGGAUAGAUCAAAGUUUGAGAACAGCCAUGCAAGCGGCAGUCAAAUAGCUGUUGGAUAGAUACAAGCAGAUAAACAUCAACAUUGAAGAAAUUCAAGGAGUAUGUCAGACACUUAUCAUAUACAUUAUUCUUAUUGAAAAUCAAUGCAAGGCCAGAAAUGGUCAGACCAAGUACCAAACAACGACGACAAAAUAGGUUAUCAAAUGAAUCUAAAGCAGCACUUAGGCUUUUUUCCAGAGAUAUGCCCCUCCCAGAUGCUGAAUCCCCAGAAUCUUUGUCAUUUUGUUCCUCAUCAAAUUUUUCCUUAAGCAUGCUACACCUCUCAUGGAUUUCUGAAGUGGAGACUCCAAUAAACUGGCUAACAAUGUUUAGUACUUCUUCGGCCAGUCCAUGUUCCUGAAAGACCAUCCAUAGAAUGCGAUCUUCACCCUCAGAAAAUUCAUGUUUUUCUUCCUCGGGUUCUAUAAUGUCUUCCUCACUGUCACUACAUAUAAGUGCUUCACUGCCAUGUUGAUCAUAGUAUAUUCGUCUCCUCCCCACCACUGACUGGUCUUCGGCCAUUCUCUGAUUCCUGUCCAAAAACAUCCAGGCAGUAUAUGGAGGUAUCUUCUCAAUGAAAGGAACCUUUAUGCUUGUUGAGGGUACAACUUCAUGACCAAUAAUAUAAUCUUUAUCCCCUGAACCGUGAGCAAAUCCACUAUACUGGCAGAGAGGACUUCCAAUCCUUGAAAUUUUCAUUUUAGCAACUCCAGUCUGCCCCAUAAAUAAUGCAUUCCCCCUGGAUGCAGCAGCUGAUAUAAGUUGAGAAACAUCACUUUCUAAUUUCCUCUUGUUCUUCUCAACUUUUUCCUAUACAAAAUUUACGCAUCAGUUUCUUAAGUAGUAUGGAAUAGAGACAUAAACAAAUACGUACCAGUUAUACUGCAUGCUUUCAUUCAUUAAUUAAAUCACCAUCACCUCGAAAUUCCUAACACUUCAAUCCAAUCUAGCUACAACCACUUCUACAUCUACCAUAAGCAAAGGCAUAAAAUAUGCAUUUCAUAGAAUACCAUUUUUUUUCUAAGUGAACUGAGCAGAUGAAUUUUACUUUGGUCAACUGAAUUUGUAUGAAAUGAUGCAUCCUACUUGAACAUAGACAUGAUCUGAAUACGUUACAGAAGAGUAGAGCAUUAUGGAUAAAUAUCAUAUGAUCAUAAGAGCAAACAUAAUAAAUGGCUUACUUUUAUUGAAACAAUUCUCUCUGCUUGAAUUUGCUUUUUAAGCUGAUUCAUCUUAUAUGGGAGGUUUCCAAUACCCUCAUUUGACUGUUUUCCAAGAGAUUUCUGCCAAUGUAUAAGAGAACAGAGACCAGUAUAUUCAAGCAAUAAAAUGACAUGAUAUCAUCAAGCAAUUCAGAAUAUAUAUAUAUAUUUUUUUAAUGAUAUAGUAUCAUUAUUAGGAAAGAAAAUAGUAUCAUUAUUAGGAAGGAAAAACCUAACUCCAAAUUAAUAGUAUUCUUUUUUUUUUAAUCCUGUAAUGUACCAGUAGCCAAACAGGGCUUACGUGCAACAAAUUCUUACUCUAAUGAGAAUCAAUUUAAGUCCAAGAUAAAAAUUGCACAUCCCAGUCCCUCAAAAACACAAAUGGGAUCAGGAAUAAUACUAAUCUUCAUUAUUUUUAGGCAAGAACAUUGAAUUAUGGUUAAUUCUGAUCAUUAGUUUCUCCGCCAACUUAACCAAAACAAAAGAGAAGUAUCAAUAAAGGAUAAGGAGAAAACUUCCAGAAACAAAGAAAACAAUAUGAAAAGCUAUAGAGAGGAACUAACUCUGAGCUUAGAGGCAGAGUCGCUUGAUUUCGACACCAUAGUUACUGUGCUCUGCUUUGCACUGCGACUCGAUCGAGAAAGAGGAAGACACGGGAAGAA